GACGAACGCUGGCGGCGUGCUUAACACAUGCAGGUCGAGCGGUAAGGCCCUUUCGGGGGUACACGAGCGGCGAACGGGUGAGUAACACGUGGGUGACCUGCCCUUAGCUCUGGGAUAAGCCUGGGAAACUGGGUCUAAUACCGGAUAUGACUCCAUAACGCAUGUUGUGGGGUGGAAAGCCUUGUGCGGCUAGGGAUGGGCCCGCGGCCUAUCAGCUUGUUGGUGGGGUGAUGGCCACCAAGGCGACGACGGGUAGCCGGCCUGAGAGGGCGACCGGCCACACUGGGACUGAGACACGGCCCAGACUCCUACGGGAGGCAGCAGUGGGGAAUCUUGCGCAAUGGGCGAAAGCCUGACGCAGCGACGCCGCGUGGGGAUGA
rnacentral:rRNA from 1 species